rnacentral:rRNA from 1 species
AUUGAACGCUGGCGGAAUGCUUUACACAUGCAAGUCGAACGGUAGAGGGGGCAACCCCUCGAGAGUGGCGAACGGGUGAGUACUAUAUCGGAACGUGCCCAGUCGUGGGGGAUAACGUAGCGAAAGUUACGCUAAUACCGCAUACGAACUAAGGAUGAAAGCGGGGGACCGUAAGGCCUCGCGCGAUUGGCGAGGCCGAUAUCAGAUUAGGUAGUUGGUGAGGUAAAGGCUCACCAAGCCAACGAGCUGUAGCUGUUCUGAGAGGACGACCAGCCACACUGGAACUGAGACCCGGUCCAGACUCCUACGGGAGGCAGCAGUGGGGAAUUUUGGACAAUGGACGCAAGUCUGAUCCAGCCAUUCCGCGUGCAGGAUGAAGGCCCUCGGGUUGUAAACUGCUUUUGUACGGAACGAAAAGGUCUCUCCUAAUACGAGGGGCUCAUGACGGUACCGUAAGAAUAAGCACCGACUAACUACGUGCCAGCCGCCGCGGUAA